rnacentral:rRNA from 1 species
GUGCGGUAACGCAAACGAUCCCGGAGAAGCCGGCGGGAGCCCCGGGNAGAGUUCUCUUUUCUUUGUGAAGGGCAGGGCACCCUGGAAUGGGUUCGCCCCGAGAGAGGGGCCCGAGCCUUGGAAAGCGUCGCGGUUCCGGCGGCGUCCGGUGACGUCUCGCUNGUCCUNGAAAAUCCGGGGGAGAUGGUGUAAAUCUCGCGCCGGGCCCCCGCGCAUGUUCGUGGGGAACCU